CAGCAGCCGCGGGAAUACGUAGGUCCCGAGCGUUGUCCGGAUUUAUUGGGCGUAAAGCGAGCGCAGGCGGUUAGAUAAGUCUGAAGUUAAAGGCUGUGGCUUAACCAUAGUACGCUUUGGAAACUGUUUAACUUGAGUGCAAGAGGGGAGAGUGGAAUUCCAUGUGUAGCGGUGAAAUGCGUAGAUAUGUGGAGGAACACCGGUGGCGAAAGCGGCUCUCUGGCUUGCAACUGACGCUGAGGCUCGAAAGCGCGGGGAGCAAACAGGAUUAGAUACCCGCGUAGUCCCUGUCUCUUAUACA
rnacentral:rRNA from 1 species